GGUUCGAUUCCGGAGAGGGAGCCAGAGAAACGGUUAUUGAGAUAUUUUUGAGAAUUGAGAAGAUGACGGCAAUCGGAGAAGUUGAGAACCCCGCCGUUGUGCAGCGACCAACAGAGGCUUCCAAGGUUAAGGAGCAGGCUUCGGCGACAGAGAAGGCUGUUAAGGAGAAGAAACCUAGGGCUCCCAAAGAGAAGAAGCCUAAAUCUGCCAAGGCUGUUACUCAUCCUCCUUAUUUUCAGAUGAUUAAGGAGGCUCUGUUGUCUCUGAACGAGAAAGGUGGAUCGAGUCCGUAUGCAGUUGCUAAAUACAUGGAAGACAAACAUAAGGAUGAAUUACCAGCAAAUUUCAGGAAAAUUCUAGGUCUUCAAUUGAAGAAUUCUGCAGCAAAGGGGAAGCUAAUCAAAAUCAAGGCUUCAUACAAACUAUCUGAGGCUGGAAAGAAGGAGACUACAACAAAAACGUCUACCAAAAAGCUCCCCAAGGCCGAUUCUAAGAAGAAACCUAGAAGCACCAGGGCCACUUCAACUGCAGCGAAGAAAACAGAGGUGCCGAAGAAAGCAAAAGCGACGCCAAAACCGAAGAAGGUUGGAGCCAAGAGGACAAGGAAGUCUACUCCGGCGAAGGCAAAGCAACCAAAGUCUAUCAAGUCUCCUGCUGCUAAAAGGGCCAAGAAAAUUGCAGUUUAAGCAUGGCGGUGGGAUAAUACAGACUGUAUAUAAGAGGAAUAAUGGUUUGCUGCUUGUAGCUCUGUGAAUAGGAAAAAUGAAGCUUAGCUUUUACUUUCAGUCAUCUAGUUCGGUAGUGUAGGUCGGGUUUGCUGAAGUUUGGUUAAUGAAGGCUCUGUAUCUCUGCAAAUUAAGGCGUUGUUCUGUCAAUAAUCAUCUUUUUUCUUUCAAAUUUGCCGAGUUACUUUUCUAAUGAUCAU
rnacentral:misc_RNA from 1 species